GGAUCAAUAUGUCGGUCGUGCCUUGGUACGUACUAGUUUAUUGGUUUCUUCCUUCUGACGAACCAUGAUGUCAUUAAUUUGGUGUCUUGGGGAAUCAGGACUGUUACUUUGAAAAAAUUAGAGUGUUUAAAGCAGGCUCACGCUUGAAUACAUUAGCAUGGAAUAAUGAAAUAGGACGUUUGAUUCUAUUUUGUUGGUUUCUAGGAUCGACGUA
rnacentral:rRNA from 1 species